GGCGUGUACUGCUUGGCUGGGCCUUACUUCUUGGUGAGCCGGCGUGCCCUUUAUUGGUGUGCGUCGGGGAACCAGGACUUUUACCUUGAGAAAAUUAGAGUGUUCAAAGCAGGCCUAUGCCUGAAUACAUUAGCAUGGAAUAAUAGAGUAGGACGUGCGGUUCUAUUUUGUUGGUUUCUAGAGUCGCCGUAAUGAUUAAUAGGGACAGUUGGGGGCAUUGGUAUUGAGUCGCUAGAGGUGAAAUUCUUGGAUUGACUCAAGACCGACUAUUGCGAAAGCAUUUGCCAAGGAUGUUUUCAUUAAUCAAGAACGAAGGUUAGGGGAUCGAAAACGAUCAGAUACCGUUGUAGUCUUAACAGUAAACUAUGCCGACUAGGGAUCGGAUGACCUCAAAAUUGAUGUGUCAUUCGGCACCUUACGAGAAAUCAAAGUCUUUGGGUUCUGGGAGGAGUAUGGUCGCAAGGCUGAAACUUAAAGGAAUUGACGGAAGGGCACCACCAGGUGUGGAGCCUGCGGCUUAAUUUGACUCAACACGGGGAAACUCACCAGGUCCAGACAUAACUAGGAUUGACAGAUUGAUAGCUCUUUCAUGAUUUUAUGGGUGGUGGUGCAUGGCCGUUCUUAGUUGGUGGAGUGAUUUGUCUGGUUAAUUCCGAUAACGAACGAGACCUUAACCUGCUAAAUAGCCAGGCCGGCUUCGGCUGGUCUCUGGCUUCUUAGAGGGACUGUCAG
rnacentral:rRNA from 1 species